UCUCUCUGGGUGGCGAGUGGCGGACGGGUGAGGAAUACAUCGGAAUCUACUCUGUCGUGGGGGAUAACGUAGGGAAACUUACGCUAAUACCGCAUACGACCUACGGGUGAAAGCAGGGGACCUUCGGGCCUUGCGCGAUUGAAUGAGCCGAUGUCGGAUUAGCUAGUUGGCGGGGUAAAGGCCCACCAAGGCGACGAUCCGUAGCUGGUCUGAGAGGAUGAUCAGCCACACUGGAACUGAGACACGGUCCAGACUCCUACGGGAGGCAGCAGUGGGGAAUAUUGGACAAUGGGCGCAAGCCUGAUCCAGCCAUACCGCGUGGGUGAAGAAGGCCUUCGGGUUGUAAAGCCCUUUUGUUGGGAAAGAAAUCCAGCUGGCUAAUACCCGGUUGGGAUGACGGUACCCAAAGAAUAAGCACCGGCUAACUUCGUGCCAGCAGCCGCGGUAAUACGAAGGGUGCAAGCGUUACUCGGAAUUACUGGGCGUAAAGCGUGCGUAGGUGGUCGUUUAAGUCCGUUGUGAAAGCCCUGGGCUCAACCUGGGAACUGCAGUGGAUACUGGGCGACUAGAAUGUGGUAGAGGGUAGCGGAAUUCCUGGUGUAGCAGUGAAAUGCGUAGAGAUCAGGAGGAACAUCCAUGGCGAAGGCAGCUACCUGGACCAACAUUGACACUGAGGCACG
rnacentral:rRNA from 1 species